rnacentral:tRNA from 1 species
UGGGAUGUCGUUCAAUUGGUAGGACACGAGAUUUUGGAUCUCGGUAUUCUGGUUCGAGUCCAGACGUCCCAGCCA